ACAUGUAGGUAGAGUUAAAGUGACUAUACAUAGAUCAUAAACAGAGAGUAGCAGCAGUGUACAUGUAGGUAGAGUUAGUGACUAUACAUAGAUCAUAAACAGAGAGUAGCAGCAGUGUACAUGUAGGUAGAGUUAGUGACUAUACAUAGAUCAUAAACAGAGAGUAGCAGCAGUGUACAUGUAGGUAGAGUUAGUGACUAUACAUAGAUCAUAAACAGAGAGUAGCAGCAGUGGACAUGUAGGUAGAGUUAGUGACUAUACAUAGAUCAUAAACAGAGAGUAGCAGCAGUGGACAUGUAGGUAGAGUUAGUGACUAUACAUAGAUCAUAAACAGAGAGUAGCAGCAGUGGACAUGUAGGUAGAGUUAGUGACUAUACAUAGAUCAUAAACAGAGAGUAGCAGCAGUGUACAUGUAGGUAGAGUUAAAGUGACUAUACAUAGAUCAUAAACAGAGAGUAGCAGCAGUGGACAUGUAGGUAGAGUUAGUGACUAUACAUAGAUCAUAAACAGAGAGUAGCAGCAGUGUACAUGUAGGUAGAGUUAAAGUGACUAUACAUAGAUCAUAAACAGAGAGUAGCAGCAGUGGACAUGUAGGUAGAGUUAAAGUGACUAUACAUAGAUCAUAAACAGAGAGUAGCAGCAGUGGACAUGUAGGUAGAGUUAGUGACUAUACAUAGAUCAUAAACAGAGAGUAGCAGCAGUGGACAUGUAGGUAGAGUUAGUGACUAUACAUAGAUCAUAAACAGAGAGUAGCAGCAGUGGACAUGUAGGUAGAGUUAGUGACUAUACAUAGAUCAUAAACAGAGAGUAGCAGCAGUGUACAUGUAGGUAGAGUUAGUGACUAUACAUAGAUCAUAAACAGAGAGUAGCAGCAGUGGACAUGUAGGUAGAGUUAGUGACUAUACAUAGAUCAUAAACAGAGAGUAGCAGCAGUGGACAUGUAGGUAGAGUUAGUGACUAUACAUAGAUCAUAAACAGAGAGUAGCAGCAGUGUACAUGUAGGUAGAGUUAGUGACUAUACAUAGAUCAUAAACAGAGAGUAGCAGCAGUGUACAUGUAGGUAGAGUUAGUGACUAUACAUAG